UCCCAUCUGUUGGCUCAAUUUUGCAAAAUUUGCCAUCAUGUUUUUUUCAAAUUACAGUCUUGAUGUUCGCUCUUCUUCCAACAAUAUUUCCCUUUCAGCACGCUCUUCUUUUAACCUCUCCCCAAAUUGUUCUUUCUCAGCACGCUCCAAGUUAAUCCUCUCUUGUGUGUUUGCACGUUCAGCUUGUAGUUGAUCUUGUAAUUCGUUGACCUGCUGGCUGAGCUCAGAGUUUUGCUACUGGGUUGCUGCUGUAGCACGAGUUUGCUCUUCAAUCUGGAUCCAAAACCUUUCAAUGGCAGAAAUACUAAUCAAGUUAAUCAUAAGGCAUGUAAGCAUGAUGUAAUGAAUAUGGCAUGGAACACCAGCAAUGUGAAACUAGAACUACAGGAAGAACAAAAAACAGAGUAAAAUGUUUAAGAAAGGGAAAAUGGGCACUUCUGUCACAUCAAGAUCAGUAUAUUUCCUUGGAAAUAUCAUCAUAACCCUGUAAAGAACUAGGGCCGUCUCCAGAAAAUUGAGGCCCCUGUGCGAAAUGUGAAACGAGAACCUAAAAUUAGGAAAUGUCGUGCACGGCCAUUUGACUAGGGAGACGAAGAGUAUAGUCAGUGUUUCCUAUAUAUAUAUAUAUAUAUAUAUAUAUGGGUCUUUUUUAUAUAUGAAUUGAAAAUUUGUGUAUUGUUCAGAAUGAACUUGAAUUCAGGUAACUGGCGCUAUUUAUUUAUGGACUAUGGCUAACAACAAAUGAACUACAUGCCACAUAAUCAAAUUAAACCAACAUCUAAGUAGCCAAAAUGACUGAAAUUAUAAGGGGAAGCAAGCAUAUUAGGAAUAACAUAUAUACCUAAAACUUAAAGUUCUGACAUUGACAGAAGUAGCCAGUUUCAUUCAAAUCUAACUCUACAUAUAUACUCCAAAUCUAACUAGGUCUAGCUGUUUUGGGCAAGUUGCAUUGGAAAUUAAACUAAAAUAAUGCAUCUGUUCUAAUGUAGUGGUCUAGUAAAGCAUUGACUGUACAAGUUAUUUUCCACGCUCGUCUCAACUAGCAUGUUAGUGCCUCCUACUACUGACCAGUUCAAGAAGAGAGCCUCUAAUUACGAAAGAUUCCAGCCAUGAGAUGGGCAACAAAUAAACAUGACAGAAGGAAUUCCCAAUCAUACAAAAAAGGAACAUGGAAAUAAGAAAUAGCCAUGUGGUGAUGUCAGUAUGAACAAAAUACUUACAUGGACUAUGGGAAUGCGUCAGGCAAGGGAAACGUGCAUGCCUGCUUGUUCUGGUGACGGAUGACAGCAGAGGCACAACAACGAUGCUGCACUGCUCCAUGUACAAGAUCAUGGGCCUCGCCGCCCUAGGACACACAAAGGAACCAAGAUGCCGCUCGUAUCGGUGCGGCCGUCAGCCGUGACCAUGUACGAAACGAGCAGUUCGGGCACUCUCAGAUCCAUGGUGACAAAGAACACAUAUACAGGAUUCGAAGCCCCCUAAUUUUUGGGGGCCCUGUGCGGUCGCCCACCUCGCACAUCCUCGUCAACGGCC
rnacentral:lncRNA from 1 species